GUCAGUAACCCAGCCCUAAAGGGACUGGGCUUGCAAGAGUAAUCAAGCAAGCCGUACUGACCGGUUUCCAGGUUCCAAUCAAAAAUCUGGUUUCAAUUUUAAUAUCCACAGCGGUUAAAACCG
rnacentral:ncRNA from 1 species